AAACGACUCUCGGCAACGGAUAUCCCGGCUCUCGCAUCGAUGAAGAACGUAGCGAAAUGCGAUACUUGGUGUGAAUUGCAGAAUCCCGUGAACCAUCGAGUUUUUGAACGCAAGUUGCGCCCGAUGCCAUUAGGCUGAGGGCACGUCUGCCUGGGUGUCACUU
rnacentral:rRNA from 1 species